rnacentral:rRNA from 1 species
GACGUAGGGGGCGAGCGUUGCCCGGAUUCACUGGGCGUAAAGCGCGUGUAGGCGGUUUGUUAAGUCGGAUGUGAAAGCUCCGGGCUCAACCCGGAAAUUGCAUCCGAUACUGGCAGACUUGAGGACGGUAGAGGUCGGUGGAAUGGCGAGUGUACCGGUGAAAUGGGCAGAUAUUCGCCAGAACACCAGUGGCGAAGGCGGCCGACUGGGCCGUUCCUGACGCUGAGACGCGAAAGCCAGGGGAGCGAACCGG